AGGUCAGAUGAACUUGUAUCUAAACUUCUACCUCCGCCCCUGAAUAUAAGGUCCCUUCUUAACUUCAACAGUAUAAAUAAGUCAUUCAACUCCUUAAGGGAAAUAUCAAAUGUAUAAAAAUAGUUAUGGAGAUUGUUGCUUACUACUUAGUUUCUUUUUUAUUAACAAUAACUUCAGUAAUAUAUGCAUGGAAGUUGUUAGAUUGGGUAUGGUUUAGGCCAAGGAAACUACAAAAAUGCCUAAGAAAACAAGGUCUCAAAGGGAACUCUUACAAAUUAAUUUUUGGAGAUCUCAAAGAGUAAGCCAAAAGCUUUGAAGAUGUUAAGUCCAAGCCAUUGAAUGUCUUUGAUGAUGACAUAACUCCUAGAAUUGUUCCUUAUUUUGUUGAUACAAUCAAGAAACAUGGUAAAAAUUGUUUUAUAUGGAUUGGGCCAAAGCCUAUGGUACUAGUAACGGAUGCUGAGGUAAUAAGAGAUGUGUUUAACAAAUAUGUUCUCUACCAAAAGCCUAAACCAACUCCCCUCACCAAGUUGCUAGCACAAGGACUUGCAAGCUAUGAAGAGGAUAAAUGGGCAAUGCAUAGAAAAAUCCUCAAUCCUGCUUUCCAUAUGGAGAAGAUUAAGAAUAUGGUUCCAGCAAUUCAUUUGAGCUGCACUGAAAUGGUGAGCCAAUGGGAGGAGUCAAUCUCAACGAAAGGAACAUCUUGUGAAAUCGAUAUAUGGCCUUACCUUCAAAAAUUGUCUAGUGAUGUGAUUUCUCGAACAGCCUUUGGAAGCAACUAUGAAGAAGGUCGAAUGAUAUUUGAGCUUCAAAAAGAACAAGCUCAGCAUUUCAUUGAAGCUACUCGUACCUUAUAUAUUCUAGGAUCGAGGUUUUUGCCAACUAAGAAAAAUCGAAGGAUGAAGGAGAUCGAUAAAAAAGUUCAAGCAAUGAUUAGAGGAAUAAUUGAUAAAAGAGUGAAGGCAUUGAAAGCAGGGGAGGCCAAUACUGAUGACUUAUUAGGGAUGUUGUUGGAAUCCAACUUUAAACAAAUUGAACAACAUGGCAACAAGGAUUUUGGUAUGAGUACGCGAGAGAUCAUCGAGGAGUGUAAAUUGUUCUAUUUUGCUGGACAAGAAACCACCUCUGUAUUGCUUGUAUGGACUAUGAUUUUGUUGAGUAGGCAUCUAGAUUGGCAAACUCGCGCUAGAGAAGAGGUUUUGCAAGUCUUCGGUGAUAGCAAACUAGAAUUUGAUGGAUUAAACCGCUUAAAAAUUGUGACAAUGAUUUUGAACGAGUCGUUAAGGCUAUAUCCACCAGCUGAUUCACUUAAUCGAAAGACUACAACCAAUACCAAGCUAGGGGAACUAAGUUUACCAGCUGGAGUGAUGCUUGUAUUGCCAAUAAUUUUAUUGCAUCAUGACAAGGAAAUAUGGGGCGAAGAUGCAACAGAGUUCAAGCCAGAGAGAUUUAGUGAAGGCGUUUCAAAGGCAACAAAGGGUCAAAUGACGUUUUUCCCAUUUGGUGGGGGACCUAGGAUAUGCAUUGGGCUAAACUUCACGAUGAUAGAAGCGAAGAUGGCUUUGGCUAUGAUUCUACAACACUUCUCCUUUGAACUAUCUCCUUCUUAUACACACGCUCCGCAGUCUGUAAUAACUAUUCAACCCCAAUAUGGUGCUCCUCUUAUAUUGCAUAAAUUGUAAGCUAGCAUUAUUAAGUUGAAGUAUUUUGCAUCUUUGGUCUUUACUUUUGUUCGAUAGUAAGUCCACAUAAUCAAUAAGUACAUAUGUAAUUUGUGUAAGUUGAAUGAUCGAUGUUAAAAAAAAUUCUUAACUA